rnacentral:rRNA from 1 species
CCCGCACAAGCAGUGGAGCAUGUGGUUUAAUUCGAAGCAACGCGAAGAACCUUACCAGGACUUGACAUCCCGCUGAUCGGUCUAGAGAUAGACCUUCCCUUCGGGGCAGUGGUGACAGGUGGUGCAUGGUUGUCGUCAGCUCGUGUCGUGAGAUGUUGGGUUAAGUCCCGCAACGAGCGCAACCCUUACAUUGUGUUGCCAUCAUUUGGUUGGGCACUCACAAUGGACUGCCGGUGACAAACCGGAGGAAGGUGGGGAUGACGUCAAAUCAUCAUGCCCCUUAUGUCCUGGGCUACACACGUGCUACAAUGGGCGGUACAAAGGGAUGCGAGACCGUGAGGUGGAGCUAAUCUCAUAAAGCCGUUCGUAGUUCGGAUUGCAGGCUGCAACUCGCCUGCAUGAAGCCGGAAUUGCUAGUAAUCGCGGAUCAGCAUGCCGCGGUGAAUUCGUUCCCGGGCCUUGUACACACCGCCCGUCACACCAUGGGAGUUGGCAACACCCGAAGUCGGUGAGGUAACCUUUAUGGAGCCAGCCGCCUAAGGUGGGGUCGAUGACGGGGGUGAAGUCGUAACAAGGUAGCCGUA